rnacentral:rRNA from 1 species
CCUACGGGAGGCAGCAGUGAGGAAUAUUGGUCAAUGGACGAAAGUCUGAACCAGCCAUGCCGCGUGAAGGAUGACUGCUCUAUGGGUUGUAAACUUCUUUUAUAUGGGAAUAAAAUGUUCCACGUGUGUCAUUUUGUAUGUAUCAUACGAAUAAGGAUCGGCUAACUCCGUGCCAGCAGCCGCGGUAAUACGGAGGAUCCGAGCGUUAUCCGGAUUUAUUGGGUUUAAAGGGAGCGUAGGCGGAUUGAUAAGUUAGAUGUGAAAUGUCGGGGCUCAACCGUGAAACUGCAGUUGAUACUGGUGGUCUUGAGUACAGUAGAGGUAGGCGGAAUGUGUGGUGUAGCGGUGAAAUGCUUAGAUAUCAUGAAGAACACCGAUUGCGAAGGCAGCUCACUGGACUAUAACUGACGCUGAGGCACGAAAGCGUGGGUAGCAAACAGGAUUAGAUACCCGUGUAGUC